GACGAACGCUGGCGGCGUGCUUAACACAUGCAAGUCGAACGAAGUGGCGAACGGGUGAGUAAUGCGUAAUCAACCUGCCCUUCAGAGGGGGACAACAGUUGGAAACGACUGCUAAUACCGCAAACUGAAGGGGGGGAUGGCGUCUGAUUGGCUCGUUGGAGGGGUAACGGCCAACCAAGGCGAGUAUCAGUAGCCGGUCUGGGAGGAUGAACGGCCACAUUGGGACUGAGACACGGGCCAGACUCCUACGGGAGGCAGCAGUGGGGAAUCUUCCGCAAUGGACGAAAGGCUGACGGAGCAACGCCGCGUGAGUGAUGACGGCCUUCGGGUUGUAAAGCUCUGUUAAUCGGGACGCGGUACCGGAAUAGAAAGCCACGGCUAACUACGUGCCAGCAGCCGCGGUAAUAC
rnacentral:rRNA from 1 species